GACGAACGCUGGCGGCGUGCUUAACACAUGCAAGUCGAACGGAAAGGCCCUGCUUUUGUGGGGUGCUCGAGUGGCGAACGGGUGAGUAACACGUGAGUAACCUGCCCUUGACUUUGGGAUAACUUCAGGAAACUGGGGCUAAUACCGGAUAGGAGCUCCUGCUGCAUGGUGGGGGUUGGAAAGUUUCGGCGGUUGGGGAUGGACUCGCGGCUUAUCAGCUUGUUGGUGGGGUAGUGGCUUACCAAGGCUUUGACGGGUAGCCGGCCUGGGAGGGUGAUCGGCCCCAUUGGGCCUGAGAUACGGCCCAGACUCCUACGGGAGGCAGCAGUGGGGAAUAUUGCACAAUGGGCGGAAGCCUGAUGCAGCAACGCCGCGUGCGGGAUGACGGCCUUCGGGUUGUAAACCGCUUUCGCCUGUGACGAAGCGUGAGUGACGGUAAUGGGUAAAGAAGCACCGGCUAACUACGUG
rnacentral:rRNA from 1 species